UGCUUCGUUCAGUAAAUUGGAUGGACAAUGAAUGAGUCAGAGAAUUUCAAAAAGAGAUCUGAUGUCUUCUUGUGUUCAAAGCACUGGACUAGGACCCAGCAAAGCUGUCUCUCUUCCUGACUUUGCUACAGACUUCCUACGUGAUGUUGGAUAAGGACAGACUGUCUGGAGGGAUAAAAGAAAAAGUAAAAUACAGUUACCAUUGUUUAUCUGACUUCCUAGCAACUUCAAAAAGGAAUCAGAAUGUAAAAUAUCUUAUUAAAAUAGAAAUGUCAAGCCUAGGAUGAGCUCUGAAAGACUAUAAAAGGAGUUUAUGUUACGUCCUUGGAAGACCCCUGUUGCUCACCUGAAAGACCAGAGAUGACCUUCAGUGAAGAAAUGGGCAAUCCACUCAUUUUCACGUUGCCUGGAUUUUUGUUGGAUGGGCUCCUAAACGUCACUUGAGAAUUAAACUAUCAACCACUAAGAGAGGCACUUCUUCCCUAGAGAAUCAAGCAUAAACAACCUACCAUCAUAAAGAGAUUAAAGAAUAUAAAGCCUCAAAGGAGAUUGUAACUAGGAGAAAAAGAUGCUUUUAUUGGCACUUCUCUGUCAGUAAUGUUGAACUCCAAGUAACUAGUCUGGAGGGCCAAGUCACAAGGCAAUGAGGACCACUAGCAGACCCGGAUGGCCAGUCAGCAGGACUACUGAGAGAGACACUGCAAUGCCAUACCUGGCCACAAGAGAAGAAAUAAUUCUGCCCCUCAGAGGACAUCGUAGCUCUGAAAAUAGGAGCAUCACUCCAUUAAUUUCUGAACCAACUUGAACUCACCAGUUUCUGUAGUAAUAAACAUGAGAUACAGUCUCUGACUUAGAAGAAAGCCGGAUACCAGAGGAGAAAAAUAAUGAUCCACGAGUUACUUAA